ACGAACGCUGGCGGCAUGCCUAACACCUGCAAGUCGAACGAGACCUUCGGGUCUAGUGGCGCACGGGUGCGUAACGCGUGGGAACCUGCCCUUAGGUUCGGAAUAACUCCCCGAAAGGGGUGCUAAUACCGGAUAAUGUCUUCGGACCAAAGAUUUAUCGCCUUUGGAUGGGCCCGCGUUGGAUUAGCUAGUUGGUAGGGUAAAAGCCUACCAAGACGACGAUCCAUAGCUGGUCUGAGAGGAUGAUCAGCCACACUGGGACUGAGACACGGCCCAGACUCCUACGGGAGGCAGCAGUGGGGAAUAUUGGACAAUGGGCGAAAGCCUGAUCCAGCAAUGCCGCGUGAGUGAUGAAGGCCUUAGGGUUGUAAAGCUCUUUUACCCGGGAUGAUAAUGACAGUACCGGGAGAAUAAGCUCCGGCUAACUCCGUG
rnacentral:rRNA from 1 species